AUGCAAUGAACUUAAAAUUCAUUUAUAAAGAAUAAUCUUUUUUUAGAAAUC
rnacentral:tRNA from 1 species